GGUUCCAUGGUGUAGUGGUUAGCACUCUGGACUUUAAAUCCAGGGACCUGUGUUCGACUCCGGGUGGGACCU
rnacentral:tRNA from 1 species